CUACUGGCGUCGAGAGGCGUUGGGAUGGAUCGGCAGAAGUCAGCAGAGGCCAUAGUAGCUGGGCUAACCACCACAGCGAAGGGC
rnacentral:ncRNA from 1 species